UAAUCCCUCCCUGGAGGGAAGAAAAGCCCCAAAAACCUGGAAAAGCUGCUCCCUUUUUCCUGAAUAUUUCUCUGGAAGCAGGAAAAGCCAAGGAAAAAAACCCAAAAAUCCUGGAAAAGCUGUUCCCUUUUUCGUUAAUCCUUCCAUGGAGGCAGGAAAAACCAAGGAAAAAAACCCAAAAACCUGGAAAAACUCUUCCCCUCUUCCCUAAUCCUGUUCUGGAGGGAGGAAAAGCCCCAAAAACCUGGAAAAGCUGUUCCCUUUUUCCUUAAUCCCUCUCUGGAAGCAGGAAAAACCAAGGAAUAAAAACCAAAAAUCCUGGAAAAGCUGUUCCCUUUUUCCUUAAUCCCACUUUGAGGGCAGGAAAAACCAAGGAAAAAACCCCAAAAACCUGGAAAAAUCCCAUUUUUUCCCCCAUUCCCACCCCUUGGCUCUCUCCCAGAGCCUGGAAUUGGCUCCUUCCAUCCCGGAUUCCUUCGAUUCCCAGCGGGAAAUGAGGGAAAAGAAACUUCCCCCUCUCCCCAAAACUCAUUUUAUAGGGAUAAAAUCCGAAUAUCCCAACCCAACCCUUGCAGGGGGAGCCGAAAAUUCCGGCUGUAAUUCCCAAUUUUUUUUUUUCCUUUUAUUUUUUUUUCCUUUUUUAGGAAGGUUUUAAAAUUGGUUGAAAAGCAGUUGGGAGGAUCCCACCUUGGAAAGGAGGGGCUGGAGGUUUCUGCUCAUGGCAGUACCUGAAGCAGGAGAGCCUGGACAAGAAGAGGAAGGAAUUUGAUGCCAACGGGUGGGCCCUGCUGAGCAAGAAGAGCCAGGAGAUCCCCCAGCAGAUGAACGGCAGCGACUGCGGGAUGUUCGCCUGUAAAUACGCCGACUGCAUCACCAAAGACAAGCCCAUCAACUUCACCCAGCAACACAUGCCCUACUUCAGGAAGAGGAUGGCCUGGGAGAUCCUGCACAGGAAGCUCUUAUGAUGGGAAUGGGGCUGGAAAAACCCAGGGAUUUGGGAUCCAGAAGUGCCGGGAUUUGUUCCCCCCAUCCCCCAAUCCCGGAGACGCCGCUCGGGCCCUUCCCGGGAAAAGCUCCGGGAAAAACACGGAUGGAGAAGGGGGGGAAAGAACCAAACCUGGCUCCUGUCCCUGCUCCAAGGGCACCAGGAAUGUUGGGAAGCACAUUUGGGAUGGGGUUUUUUCCCUUUUUUUGGUUUUUUUUUCCCUUUUUUUUGGUUUUUUUUUUUCCCUUUUUUUGUUUUUUUUUUCCUUUUUUCCCCCUUUUUUUUAACGUCUUUCCCAAUUUUCUUUGGAUUUUGGAGGUGUUUUUUUGGGGCCACCUCUCUGGGGAGGGGGUUGUUGAUUCCU